rnacentral:rRNA from 1 species
UACGAACCGUGCGAACGUUGUUCGGAAUCACUGGGCUUAAAGGGCGCGUAGGCGGGCAGGCAAGUCUGGGGUGAAAUCUUUCGGCUUAACCGGAAAAGUGCCUUGGAUACUGCUUGUCUAGAGGGAGGUAGGGGCAGAUGGAACUUCCGGUGGAGCGGUGAAAUGCGUUGAUAUUGGAAGGAACGCCAGUGGCGAAAGCGACACACUGGGUCUCAACUGACGCUGAGGCACGAAAGCCAGGGGAGCAAACGGG